rnacentral:miRNA from 1 species
GGCUGGGCAGAGGUCUGAACUGCCUCUGCCUCGUUGGACUCCGGCAG